rnacentral:rRNA from 1 species
GAUGAACGCUGGCGGCGUGCCUAAUACAUGCAAGUCGAGCGAACGGACGAGAAGCUUGCUUUUCUGAUGUUAGCGGCGGACGGGUGAGUAACACGUGGAUAACCUACCUAUAAGACUGGGAUAACUUCGGGAAACCGGAGCUAAUACCGGAUAAUAUUUUGAACAGCAUGGUUCAAAAGUGAAAGACGGUCUUGCUGUCACUUAUAGAUGGAUCCGCGCUGCAUUAGCUAGUUGGUAAGGUAACGGCUUACCAAGGCAACGAUGCAUAGCCGACCUGAGAGGGUGAUCGGCCACACUGGAACUGAGACGCGGUCCAGACUCCUACGGGAGGCAGCAGUGGGGAAUCUUCCGCAAUGGGCGAAAGCCUGACGGAGCAACGCCGCGUGGGUGAUGAAGGUCUUCGGAUCGUAAAACUCUGUUAUUAGGAAAGAACAUAUGUGUAAGUAACUGUGCACAUCUUGACGGUACCUAAUCAAAAAGCAACGGCUAACUCCGUG